CGGCAGAUGAGGUGAAUUAGAUGAGGUGGAUUGAGACUCAACCCCAACAUCGGCAGAUGAGGUGGAUUAGAUGAGGUGGAUUGAGACUCGGCCCAACAUCGGCAGAUGAGGUGGAUUGAGACUCAGCCCCAACAUCGGCAGAUGAGGUGGA